CCCUUUAGUUUGUCACAGUGGGGGGGACCUGGAAACACAAACAUACACAUUAUCACAACAAACUUUCGCAACAGGGUAAGAUGUCUCCUCACUGUUGUCUGACAGCACCUCCCUCAGGAUGAUGACAUUGCACGAAAAGAGUGACAUUUACCUCAGUCGUCCCGCUUCAGAGACGGCAGAUACUCAUGAGACUGGCCGCCGAGGACGCCAUGGGACGGGCGGCGGUGUCCGAGGAAAGAUCCAGGUAGAAGAAGGUGCAUGUCUUUGGAGGUGGGAGGAAGCCGGAGUACCCGGAGGGAACCCACGCAGUCACGAUGAGAACAUGCAAACUUCACACAGAAAGAUCCCGAGCCCAGGAUCAAACCCAGGACCUUCGUGUUGAAAAGAGGUUCGGGGGAGCCUGGCUGCCCUGAUGGAACCAUUGCUGCGGGGUACGUGAGAGAUUCCUGGAAUACUUGGAGAAUCAUGUGCCUCUCAGUCCUUUCCAUCGAGGACGUGGAAGACAUCUACCUAUUUGGAGCCGUGAUCGCAGGGCAUUUGCUGAUUGGGCUGGGCAUUGCUCUGGUGUAUCGUCAAAUUCGGAAGACGAUGGCAGCCACUCAAGGGGCCCAAAGGCUGUUCAACGCAAUGGAAGGAUUGGGCCGUGCUGUGGGAUCACAGACUGGAGCGAUUUCUGAUUUGAAUCGCAAAAUGGAUAUCAUCUUGGUGAAGUUUGCUGAGAAAGAAUAAUUAAAUUGGAAUUGAGAGAGCCAGCACACGGACACAGAGCAGGAAUGUCAUUGUUUUGACUGCUCGAAGAAAAACAACAUCUUAAUCUACGAUUUGACUCCCUCGAAUGGCCUUAAGGAACAGGCUGUUCUGAAGAACUCCCCCGAGGACUCCUCAAAGAUGGACGCUUUUGACCUUCCUUUUUUUCAAAAAGCACCUGGGUCAAACUUUUGAGAUCGGCCUCAGUCCACAAAGACAUUCCAACAUCUCACCCAAGUUAAUUGGGCAUACAAUGCACGCACACGCCCCUCCCCAAAUCAACGCCUUCACCACUGCUUAAUUCCUCCGGGGUUGUGGGGGCUGAGUAGCGCUUUAAUAGCGGCAGCCGGCUUCCAGGGUCCCAACUCCCCCCUCCUCUGUUGCGAGUUGUUGUGAUCACAUGUACUAUGUUUAUGUGUGCCAUGCUAUGUGAGGUUUUUUCCUCUGACUCAGUCUGGACCACUCCUGAGGGUCCAGCCUCAGACUGAUAUUUUUAUUACUCUUCCCCCUUUCCCAAUGUCACCUUUUUCCCACCUUUUUAAGGAGCGUUGUAAGUGGCUGAUCCGUUGGCGGUCCCGUCUUGUCCCCCUGUAACGAAUGUCUGCUCUUAGCGGGAUUGUGCCGAAAAUGUAAUUUCAGUUCUUAUGUAUCUUGUACAUGUUAAGAAUGGACAAAAUAAAGCUGCUGUGUCUUUUGGAUCCCCAAGACCUGUAGUAGUUUUUUUUUCAUUGCAAAAAAAAAUAGUAAUGAAUUAAAAGCAAUGUUUUUAUGACUUAUUUUCCUAUUUAAAGCUCUAAUCACAUUUUCCACUUUGAAUACAUUUUUGGGGAAUAAAAUUGAAUUUUUGUGUUCUUGCCAUAAAG